GGCAAGUCUGGUGCCAGCAGCCGCGGUAAUUCCAGCUCCAAUAGCGUAUAUUAAAGUUGCUGCAGUUAAAAGCUCGUAGUUGGAUCUGGGGCUAGGGUUCACUGUUGACUACGUAAGUAGUCUCGGUGGUACUCAGCUCUCUUUGUCGGGGACUGUAGCAGUGCUCUUAACUGAACGCUGUUGCAGCACGACACGUUUACUUUGAAAAAUUAGAGUGUUUAAAGCAGGCUUACGCUUGAAUACGCCAGCAUGGAAUAACAAGAUAGGACUUUGGUUCUAUUUUGUUGGUUUGAGGACCAAAGUAAUGAUUAAUAGGGCCAGUCGGGGCAUUAGUAUUCUAUAGUCAGAGGUGAAAUUCUUGGAUUUAUAGAAGACUAACUAAUGCGAAAGCAUUUGCCAAGGAUGUUUUCAUUAAUCAAGAACGAAAGUUAGGGGAUCGAAGACGAUUAGAUACCGU
rnacentral:rRNA from 1 species